rnacentral:lncRNA from 1 species
GUGGUCCCCUCUCUGCUCAGCCUGCCUGAGCUGGUCUGAGGGUCCUGAUUUUUCACCAGUGCCUUCCCUUCUACUGUUCCCUGAGGACAGGCACCCCCAGAUGGAAACUCUGACUUGCCCUCUACCUCAUCUCCACAGGAACCUUCCUCCUCAAAAAUCAAAGAACACAGUGGAUGCAAAAAUAUUCCGUAAAUGGAAAAAUGUAGAUGUAGAGAAGAACUAAGCCACAUCUGUCGAGGGCCCUGCACUUGCCAGGUCAUGAGCUAUGAAGUUGAUUUACUGACCCAUGAAUGGGUCACAACCCGCAGUUUGGAAACAGCUGGAUGGACCCCCACCUGUGCUUUCCAGCUUCUCCUAGAGCCUCAGGGCCCCAGGAAGGCAGUGUGGUCUCUGCAACCAGGUCCUCUCCUGGGAGAAACACUUCAACUUUUGCAAAAGAUUCAUUAAUUCAUCACCAUGGCACCCAGAAA